AACACUGAACAGUACAGUAUGCAGGUUAUGGUCUCAAAAUGCUAACAAUAUGAAUUAUUUCUAUAUUCACAGGACAGUGAGCAGAAGUGUUCUAACAGCUUUGAAUGUGCUGAGGAGAAUGUGCUGAACCCCAAUAUGGAGGGAUCCAUUGACUCGGUGGACUCUCACCAGGCUGACAACAACAGAGCCAGACAUUCAUCUGUGACUUCAAUCAGUGUUUCUGCCGCCACACUGACACUGGCCUUUGCACUGGUCAAUCAGGCUCUGUAAACACAGCCUGACUCUACAACACCAGGAAGCAUCUGAUGGAUUCUUCUGACCUCAAUCAAAGAACUUCUCUAAAGUGACAUUGAUCUUUCUCUCUCUCUCUUAGUGUGUGUGUAUGUGUAUCACACGCCAUCUUUAAGAACAAGUCGGAACAAAAAACAACAGAUCCUUUGCAGGAGCUUCUAAAAGACUAGAAACACCACUGCCCCAUUGAAGAGAAAACGAGGAACCCCUGGUGGCUGACACUGAACAUAAAAAAAAACUUCCACGAAUAUCUUAUGCUAGAAGGAAAGCAGGGCACCGGGUUCCUCAAAAUCACGAUGGAUGUUUGAUCAAGAACAGGCUAUAAAAUGCAGUCAUGUACCCACUGAUAAACUCUCUGUAUAUUUACCUAGAAAUAGAGAGCACCCAUUAUACUUUUUGCUAUCUCCUCAGCGCACAUCAGUACAAUAGUGUUCACUGCCUUUAUCAUUACCAAUAAUUUCAUGUAAAUGUUUUAGUUUGAAGAAAAAAAAAAUGGAUGAAAUCUCAGUUGGUGCCCUCAAAUUCUGGCGAACUAUAUACAAGGGUUCAUCCAUGACACGUUUGGAUCCUCCAAUCUAGCGAGAUUUGGAUCAUACUGCCCUGUGUACAAUGUGUAUAAUGAUGUUUGUAAUUAUAUGAGAUUUUUUUUUUUUCUGUUUUAUCUCUAAAGAACCUUUAGCAUGUGCCGGAAAGCCGAGUGACGCAGGAACUAGAAGAAAAGCAGGGAGCCGUGUGAAACGUAUCACCAUGGAGAGCCGUCAGUGCCAAUGAUGUUUAGGCUGUUAUUAUGUGUAAUCAUUUCUUUCUUGCCAAAAGACUUGGAUUAUAUUCAAAGAAAAAUACUCUGGGGAGAGCGGAACAAAAGGUCCAUUUGCGGAGAGGGUCAAUUGUUGGUGUAUUUUAUAGUGUGCAAUCUAUUGUGUGGCCUUACUUUUUUGUCUUUGCUCUGUUCCACUCUCUUAUUUAAUGGUUUCAGACCAUACCACUUGCAGAGUACCGCCAAGACUGACUGAUAUGAUUUCAGAUGUUCAAAAAUAGCAGCUUCUAUGACUCAAAAAGGUCUUGGUUCAUUUGUGAUGCUUUAAAAUGAGGCCCAAGAAUGUGUCAGAAAUAUUUGUUUAAAUCUAAAUAAAAACAUAGUAAUGUC